AAUCAUGUGCACUGUGAAAGAGUACGAUGUUGCAGUAAUCAUAGUAAUAAUUAAAUAAAAAUAUAUAACAACAACUAAAAUAUAUAUAUAUAAUAAUAUCGAUAGGAUUUCUCAUGAUAUCGUAGGCGGCCUAAUAACUUUAUUCGACAUUUUUCUUCUUCGUUCACUUGGCCCUACUAUACACAUGUAUACCCACCGCCAGGCGGCGCUCCCUUCAGUUUAGCGGGAGAUUUGUAUUACAAGUGGCGGCCAUUUUGUUUGUUUACGGAAACGUGAUGAAAGCUUAGACCUAGAACAAAAUCACGUUAUAUAUACAGUACGGUAUAUAUUUGCGACAUUUAAUUUCCCCACUCACGGAAUACAAUCGACAAACUGGGAACAGAAUAUCAAAUUUCGUCUAGCUUUUGGCGACUUAUGAUACCCCUUUCACCGGCAAACACUGAAUUAUCGGACAUGAAAUCAGGGACUAAAUUCACCAGCAUUCAUGAUCCUCGGACCACCCGCCCCCUACGCACAGCCGAUUUAUAAAUGUUGCAUCUUUCAAUCCGUGUCAAUCCCAAGAAGAACCCUGAUCAGCUCCUGGAAAAAUCAGUGUUCUUGCAGUAUUGUCAGUCAAAUCUCAAGGAAAGGAUCCCAGAAGAGGAACAUUUACAUUAUUUCAGACUUUUUUCUUUCCUGUGUAACAAUGCCUCAAACAGCUAACACAUUUUAUAUAGUAUACAAUACAAUGUGUAUUAAUAACAGUCCAGUUAGAGUGCUGUGUUAUGCAGUAAAAAUACUUAAUUCUUGAUGACAAGUUGGUUUUAUGUUUACAUUAAACGGUAGUUAUAAUAUAUACUAAAGAAACAUAGUGGAUAAUGCCUUGUACAGGAGCAGGAGUAUGACAGUGUAAUAGUACAUGACUGCUGCGUUCAUCCAUGGAAGGAGUCUGUUAUUCGAAAUAAAGCUUUCCAUGAGGACGAAAAA